rfam:Saccharothrix sp. ST-888 contig-1195, whole genome shotgun sequence.
UUCGGUGGUCAUAGCGUGAGGGAAACGCCCGGUUACAUUCCGAACCCGGAAGCUAAGCCUCAAAGCGC